rnacentral:rRNA from 1 species
AUUGAACGCUGGCGGCAGGCUUAACACAUGCAAGUCGAGCGGAGAUGAGGUGCUUGCACCUUACCUUAGCGGCGGACGGGUGAGUAAUGCUUAGGAAUCUGCCUAUUAGUGGGGGACAACAUUCCGAAAGGAAUGCUAAUACCGCAUACGUCCUACGGGAGAAAGCAGGGGAUCUUCGGACCUUGCGCUAAUAGAUGAGCCUAAGUCGGAUUAGCUAGUUGGUGGGGUAAAGGCCUACCAAGGCGACGAUCUGUAGCGGGUCUGAGAGGAUGAUCCGCCACACUGGGACUGAGACACGGCCCAGACUCCUACGGGAGGCAGCAGUGGGGAAUAUUGGACAAUGGGGGAACCCUGAUCCAGCCAUGCCGCGUGUGUGAAGAAGGCCUUAUGGUUGUAAAGCACUUUAAGCGAGGAGGAGGCUACUGAGACUAAUACUCUUGGAUAGUGGACGUUACUCGCAGAAUAAGCACCGGCUAACUCUGUGCCAGCCGCCGCGGUAACAC